rnacentral:lncRNA from 1 species
UUGAGAAGGGAUGUCUUUGGACCAUGUUGAUCUAUGUUGUUUUGUUUGUCGUCUCAAUGGCGAUGAGCUUCAUUUCGAUAUUUAUAGAUGAGUUGUAAGAUCGCUGGAAUACUUCAUAAAUUGUAGAAAAUGUUAUGUAUUGUAAAGAUUUUUUUGGUCAAUAUAAAUAUUUCUUUUAGAUUUCACUAAUGACAUCAUUCAUAUUAACUAUUAGGUGACCUUUUGAGAAAAUGCAAUAGAGUCCUAAUGUAAUUAUGAUUUCUCCCAAAAUAAUUGGGUUUACAUCUGUUAACUGUGUGCAUUAUUAAUUGGAGUCUA